rnacentral:rRNA from 1 species
AGAGGUUUGAUCCUGGCUCAGGAUGAACGCUGGCGGCGUGCUUAACACAUGCAAGUCGAACGAAGAAGGUUAGGAAUGAGAGCUUCGGCAGGAUUUCCUUCCAUCUUAGUGGCGGACGGGUGAGUAACGUGUGGGCAACCUGCCCUGUACUGGGGAAUAAUCAUUGGAAACGAUGACUAAUACCGCAUGUGGUCCUCGGAAGGCAUCUUCUGAGGAAGAAAGGAUUUAUUCGGUACAGGAUGGGCCCGCAUCUGAUUAGCUAGUUGGUGAGAUAACAGCCCACCAAGGCGACGAUCAGUAGCCGACCUGAGAGGGUGAUCGGCCACAUUGGGACUGAGACACGGCCCAAACUCCUACGGGAGGCAGCAGUGGGGAAUAUUGCACAAUGGGCGAAAGCCUGAUGCAGCAACGCCGCGUGAAGGAUGAAGGGUUUCGGCUCGUAAACUUCUAUCAAUAGGGAAGAAAGAAAUGACGGUACCUAAAUAAGAAGCCCCGGCUAACUACGUGCCAGCAGCCGCGGU